AGCUGGCCUUGAUUGAAUGUUAUGAGGAUAAACAAAACUGCUAAUCUAAGUGAAGAAAUGCUUGUUGAUAUUAUAGCAGAAAAUCUUGUGAAGUAUGGACCACCUGAUGUGACUGUAAAUGAUUUGAAGACUGCCCUGCAUAAGCAUAAAACACAAACAAGGGGGUGAAGAAAGUGGUUAAAAGACAUAAACGAAGUGCUGCCAAGGAAAAGCAAUCUACUCCAGCCAACCAAUCUACUUCAGUAGUUGCCACAUUGGAUGAGAUUAAGAAACUCAGAGAAGAAGUAUUGAAGGAAGCAAUUGAGGAGGGUUUACUUGUCUCGGGGUGAAUAAGAUCUUAUUGUAUUAAGUGAAGCUUUGAGACUAGUGGUUGUGAAUAACCAUAUUUCGUAAUAGUGAGCUUGAUCUUAAGUGACUACAAGACGAAGCUUUUGUUCGUCACUGGCCUUAGUCAAUGGCAGACGCAGAAAUUUUCCGAUGGGGGUACAAAGUUUAAAAAUAUACCGAGACAUAACUAAAUAUGAUACAACUAUUAGCAUAUAUAUUCAGUAGUAGUAUAUAGAUAGUAGAUUUCACAAAAGUAAUGUAUACUUAAUAAUUCAAGGCAAGAUUAAUUUCUUGCUUUUAUGCCAAAGUGCUCUUUUGGUUCAAGUAUAUGUAUCCAUAAUAUGCAUGCUAUACGAUGGGUUCUUUCUAAAAAAUUUUUGGGGGUAUAAGCGUACCCCUAUGUCC